UACAGAGGGGGCAAGCGUUGUUCGGCAUUAUUGGGCGUAAAGGGCGCGUAGGCGGUGCGGUAAGUCACUUGUGAAAUCUCUGGGCUCAACUCAGAGUCUGCAGGCGAAACUGCCGUGCUUGAGUGUGGGAGAGGUAUGUGGAAUUCCCGGUGUAGCGGUGAAAUGCGUAGAGAUCGGAAGGAACACCAGUGGCGAAGGCGGCUACCUGGACAGAUACUGACGCUGAGGCGCGAGAGCGUGGGGAGCAAACAGG
rnacentral:rRNA from 1 species